rnacentral:rRNA from 1 species
AACGAACGCUGGCGGCAGGCCUAACACAUGCAAGUCGAGCGAAGCCUUCGGGCUUAGCGGCGGACGGGUGAGUAACGCGUGGGAACGUGCCCUUUGCUACGGAAUAGCCCCGGGAAACUGGGAGUAAUACCGUAUGUGCCCUUCGGGGGAAAGAUUUAUCGGCAAAGGAUCGGCCCGCGUUGGAUUAGGUAGUUGGUGGGGUAAUGGCCUACCAAGCCGACGAUCCAUAGCUGGCUUGAGAGGAUGAUCAGCCACACUGGGACUGAGACACGGCCCAGACUCCUACGGGAGGCAGCAGUGGGGAAUCUUAGACAAUGGUGGAAACCCUGAUCUAGCCAUGCCGCGUGAUCGAUGAAGGCCUUAGGGUUGUAAAGAUCUUUCAGUGGGGAAGAUAAUGACUGUACCCACAGAAGAAGCCCCGGCUAACUCCGUGCCAGCAGCCGCGGUAAAAC